UCUGCCUUUUGUACCUUAGCAUCUUAAAGGCUUCCAAAUAAUCAUCCAAAUCUUCUUUCAGACAGAAAAAGCUGUCAAUCCACAGUAGACCCCCUGGCCUCAAAACUCUAUUUCAAUCAUACAAUAUAAUGUCCCAGGAGCACAAAAUCAAUCCAACCAUCAAGAAUUCUGGUUGUGCAUCAAAUCCAGGGUAUUAUCAAAGAAUGGAAGCUGUUGAUUUAUAGUUAACUAAAGAGGUGCAAUUCCCCG
rnacentral:misc_RNA from 1 species